rnacentral:rRNA from 1 species
UUAAACCCAAAGAAUUUGGCGGUACUUUAUUCCAUUCAGAGGAACCUACCCCGUAAUUGAUAGUACACGAUUAACUUUACUUAAUUUAUUUGUUUGUAUAUCUCCGUUAUCAGAAAAUCUUUUUAGAGUUUAAAUUUUCAAUAUUUAUUUUUAUAAAUUAUUUCAGGUCAAGGUGCAGCUAAUAUUUAAGAGGAGGUGGGUUACAAUAAAUUUUUAUUUAUUACGGUUAUUUUAAUAAAAUAUUAAAAUUUAAGGUGGAUUUGAUAGUAAAUUGAUUUAUUUAAUUCAUUUGAUACUGGCUCUAAGGUGUGUACACAUC